ACGCUGGCGGCAGGCCUAACACAUGCAAGUCGAGCGGAAACGAGUUAUCUGAACCUUCGGGGAACGAUAACGGCGUCGAGCGGCGGACGGGUGAGUAAUGCCUAGGAAAUUGCCUUGAUGUGGGGGAUAACCAUUGGAAACGAUGGCUAAUACCGCAUAAUGCCUACGGGCCAAAGAGGGGGACCUUCGGGCCUCUCGCGUCAAGAUAUGCCUAGGUGGGAUUAGCUAGUUGGUGAGGUAAUGGCUCACCAAGGCGACGAUCCCUAGCUGGUCUGAGAGGAUGAUCAGCCACACUGGAACUGAGACACGGUCCAGACUCCUACGGGAGGCAGCAGUGGGGAAUAUUGCACAAUGGGCGAAAGCCUGAUGCAGCCAUGCCGCGUGUAUGAAGAAGGCCUUCGGGUUGUAAAGUACUUUCAGUUGUGAGGAAGGGGGUGUCGUUAAUAGCGGCAUCUCUUGACGUUAGCAACAGAAGAAGCACCGGCUAACUCCGUGCCAGCAGCCGCGGUAAUACGGAGGGUGCGAGCGUUAAUCGGAAUUACUGGGCGUAAAGCGCAUGCAGGUGGUUCAUUAAGUCAGAUGUGAAAGCCCGGGGCUCAACCUCGGAACUGCAUUUGAAACUGGUGAACUAGAGUACUGUAGAGGGGGGUAGAAUUUCAGGUGUAGCGGUGAAAUGCGUAGAGAUCUGAAGGAAUACCAGUGGCGAAGGCGGCCCCCUGGACA
rnacentral:rRNA from 1 species